GGGUUGUGAGGUUAAGCGACUAAGCGUACACGGUGGAUGCCCUGGCAGUCAGAGGCGAUGAAGGACGUGCUAAUCUGCGAAAAGCGUCGGUAAGGUGAUAUGAACCGUUAUAACCGGCGAUGUCCGAAUGGGGAAACCCAGUGCAAUUCGUUGCACUAUCGUUAACUGAAUACAUAGGUUAACGAGGCGAACCGGGGGAACUGAAACAUCUAAGUACCCCGAGGAAAAGAAAUCAACCGAGAUUCCCCCAGUAGCGGCGAGCGAACGGGGAGCAGCCCAGAGUCUGAAUCAGCUUGUGUGUUAGUGGAACGGUCUGGAAAGUCCGACGGUACAGGGUGAUAGUCCCGUACACCAAAAUGCACAGGUUGUGAACUCGAAGAGUAGGGCGGGACACGUGGUAUCCUGUCUGAAUAUGGGGGGACCAUCCUCCAAGGCUAAAUACUCCUGACUGACCGAUAGUGAACCAGUACCGUGAGGGAAAGGCGAAAAGAACCCCGGCGAGGGGAGUGAAAAAGAACCUGAAACCGUGUACGUACAAGCAGUGGGAGCACCUUCGGGUGUGACUGCGUACCUUUUGUAUAAUGGGUCAGCGACUUAUAUUCUGUAGCAAGGUUAACCGUAUAGGGGAGCCGCAGGGAAACCGAGUCUUAACUGGGCGUUAAGUUGCAGGGUAUAGACCCGAAACCCGGUGAUCUAGCCAUGGGCAGGUUGAAGGUUGGGUAACACUAACUGGAGGACCGAACCGACUAAUGUUGAAAAAUUAGCGGAUGACUUGUGGCUGGGGGUGAAAGGCCAAUCAAACCGGGAGAUAGCUGGUUCUCCCCGAAAGCUAUUUAGGUAGCGCCUCGUGAACUCAUCUUCGGGGGUAGAGCACUGUUUCGGCUAGGGGGUCAUCCCGACUUACCAACCCGAUGCAAACUACGAAUACCGAAGAAUGUUAUCACGGGAGACACACGGCGGGUGCUAACGUCCGUCGUGAAGAGGGAAACAACCCAGACCGCCAGCUAAGGUCCCAAAGUCAUGGUUAAGUGGGAAACGAUGUGGGAAGGCACAGACAGCCAGGAUGUUGGCUUAGAAGCAGCCAUCAUUUAAAGAAAGCGUAAUAGCUCACUGGUCGAGUCGGCCUGCGCGGAAGAUGUAACGGGGCUAAACCAUGCACCGAAGCUGCGGCAGCGACACUAUGUGUUGUUGGGUAGGGGAGCGUUCUGUAAGCCUGCGAAGGUGUGCUGUGAGGCAUGCUGGAGGUAUCAGAAGUGCGAAUGCUGACAUAAGUAACGAUAAAGCGGGUGAAAAGCCCGCUCGCCGGAAGACCAAGGGUUCCUGUCCAACGUUAAUCGGGGCAGGGUGAGUCGACCCCUAAGGCGAGGCCGAAAGGCGUAGUCGAUGGGAAACAGGUUAAUAUUCCUGUACUUGGUGUUACUGCGAAGGGGGGACGGAGAAGGCUAUGUUAGCCGGGCGACGGUUGUCCCGGUUUAAGCAUGUAGGCUGGUUGUCCAGGCAAAUCCGGAUAAUCAAGGCUGAGGUGUGAUGACGAGGCACUACGGUGCUGAAGUAACAAAUGCCCUGCUUCCAGGAAAAGCCUCUAAGCAUCAGGUAACAUCAAAUCGUACCCCAAACCGACACAGGUGGUCAGGUAGAGAAUACCAAGGCGCUUGAGAGAACUCGGGUGAAGGAACUAGGCAAAAUGGUGCCGUAACUUCGGGAGAAGGCACGCUGGUGUGUAGGUGAAGUCCCUGCGGAUGGAGCUGAGACCAGUCGAAGAUACCAGCUGGCUGCAACUGUUUAUUAAAAACACAGCACUGUGCAAACACGAAAGUGGACGUAUACGGUGUGACGCCUGCCCGGUGCCGGAAGGUUAAUUGAUGGGGUUAUCCGUAAGGAGAAGCUCUUGAUCGAAGCCCCGGUAAACGGCGGCCGUAACUAUAACGGUCCUAAGGUAGCGAAAUUCCUUGUCGGGUAAGUUCCGACCUGCACGAAUGGCGUAAUGAUGGCCAGGCUGUCUCCACCCGAGACUCAGUGAAAUUGAACUCGCUGUGAAGAUGCAGUGUACCCGCGGCAAGACGGAAAGACCCCGUGAACCUUUACUAUAGCUUGACACUGAACAUUGAGCCUUGAUGUGUAGGAUAGGUGGGAGGCUUUGAAGCGUGGACGCCAGUCUGCGUGGAGCCAACCUUGAAAUACCACCCUUUAAUGUUUGAUGUUCUAACGUUGGCCCCUGACCGGGGUUGCGGACAGUGUCUGGUGGGUAGUUUGACUGGGGCGGUCUCCUCCCAAAGCGUAACGGAGGAGCACGAAGGUUAGCUAAUCCUGGUCGGACAUCAGGAGGUUAGUGCAAUGGCAUAAGCUAGCUUGACUGCGAGCGUGACGGCGCGAGCAGGUGCGAAAGCAGGUCAUAGUGAUCCGGUGGUUCUGAAUGGAAGGGCCAUCGCUCAACGGAUAAAAGGUACUCCGGGGAUAACAGGCUGAUACCGCCCAAGAGUUCAUAUCGACGGCGGUGUUUGGCACCUCGAUGUCGGCUCAUCACAUCCUGGGGCUGAAGUAGGUCCCAAGGGUAUGGCUGUUCGCCAUUUAAAGUGGUACGCGAGCUGGGUUUAGAACGUCGUGAGACAGUUCGGUCCCUAUCUGCCGUGGGCGCUGGAGAAUUGAGGGGGGCUGCUCCUAGUACGAGAGGACCGGAGUGGACGCAUCACUGGUGUUCGGGUUGUCAUGCCAAUGGCACUGCCCGGUAGCUAAAUGCGGAAGAGAUAAGUGCUGAAAGCAUCUAAGCACGAAACUUGCCCCGAGAUGAGUUCUCCCUGAGACUUUAAGUCUCCUGAAGGAACGUUGAAGACGACGACGUUGAUAGGCCGGGUGUGUAAGCGCAGCGAUGCGUUGAGCUAACCGGUACUAAUGAACCGUGAGGCUUAACCUUACAACGCCGAAG
rnacentral:rRNA from 1 species